CCGUUCUCAACGGGGUGCUGCGCCUGCGCGGCUGAGAAAAUACCCGUCGAACCUGAUCCGGAUAACGCCGGCGAAGGGAUUUGAGGCUGACUCAAAA
rfam:Yokenella regensburgei ATCC 43003 genomic scaffold Scfld3, whole genome shotgun sequence.